rnacentral:rRNA from 1 species
UACGGGGGGGGGCAAGCGUUGUUCGGAAUUACUGGGCGUAAAGGGCUCGUAGGCGGCCAACUAAGUCGGACGUGAAAUCCCUCGGCUUAACCGGGGAACUGCGUCCGAUACUGGAUGGCUAGAGGUUGGGAGAGGGAUGCGGAAUUCCCGGUGUAGCGGUGAAAUGCGCAGAUAUCGGGAGGAACACCAAUGGCGAAGGCAGCCUCGCUGG